rnacentral:lncRNA from 1 species
CCUGAGUUUCCUAAAACUACGGACAUAACUGAACGCUCUGCAUAUAUUUUGUAUAUACUUAUUUACAUGUUGCCUAUGGUCCACUAGAAUGGAAGCAACCUGACGGCAGAGAACGUGUUUUUGCCUUUCCUUGUAUGCCCAGUGAUCGCCGCGGUGUCCGCACACAGUAGGCGCUUAUUAAGUGCUUGCUUACUGGUUGCUCCGAGAGGGCUUCGGGGGCUCACCCCUGGCCAUACCCACUACUCGGCUAGCGAGGACGCCCGGCCACAUGUCCGGCAGGGCCCACAGUUUGGCUUUCCAGCAGCGCAGCGCUAAACACAAGGCCCCACCCGACCCCGGUGGGAGGGGGGACCCGAGCAGGGCCCCGUGGGCAGCGGCCAACAGCCGGUGGCCAGAACAGGUAGUGGGGGCCGCAGAUUAAAGCACGGGAAGGCGGCCAGAACGCACCGCAGUCGCAGCUCGCCCCGGGCGCCCUCGCGUCCCCGCGGGCGCCGCUGUCCGUCUCCCGAGGGAAGGGUCCGCGGACAGACGGGCCCGCGAAAGGGGGCGCCUCCUCCCCUCCCCCGCACACUCCGACACUGACCGUCGCCCGCCCACGAUCUCUAUGAAGCCCCCAAGCGCGCCCGCCGGGCCCUGACGUCAGGCUACCGCACAAGAAGCGGGCACGCAUCGCGCGCGGAGCAGAGCCCCGCCUCUCCCCAUCCCCGGUCCCACCUCCGCCCCUCCUUUUGUCUCCACGCCCCGCGGGGCCAGAGAGAGCUCGGAGCGCAUGCGCCCUGAGAGCAGAACCAGGUGAGGGGGAUGGGGCUGGGAAUGCUGCGUGGUGGCACGCUGGCCCACGUUCUUUCGCGCCGGGGCCCGAGUGCGGUCAGGGAGGAAGGAAGGUAGCGCACACCUUUGCUCCAAUGGCUGCAGCCCUUCCGCGCGCACUCCCCCAGGGAGAAGGGAAACCGAUAAACCUCAAUACUUCAUUCAAUACAAUGAUGGAAUACAUGGAUUACGUUUCAAGCCAGUGUGGGAGGUUUCAUUCUGUACCAGAAAAGGCAGCGCUGAAUCAUGUCUACAGAUAUCACCAAAACCACUCGGACCCAAUGUCCUCUUCCUGGGUGAGACGGAAAAAAUCCACAUCCCAAGACCCUAGAGAGAGCUACCAAGUAACAAAGAUUGGCCCAGGACCAUCCAUGUUUGAUCCAGGAUCAUCCAGGUUUGACCCAGGACCAUCCAAGUUUAACACAGGACCAUCCAGGUUUAACUUGGGGUCAUCCAAGUUUGACCCAGGACCAUCCAGGUUUGACCCAGGACCAUCCAGGUUUGACCCAGGACCAUCCAAAUUUGACCCAGGACCAUCCAGGUUUUACGCAGGACCAUCCAGGUUUGACUUGGGGUCAUCCAAGUUUGACCCAGGACCAUCCAGGUUUGACCCAGGACCAUCCAGUGUUGGCCCAGGACCAUCCAGGUUUGACCCGGGACCAUCCAGGUUUGACCCGGGACCAUCCAGGUUUGACCCGGGACCAUCCAGGUUUGACCCGGGACCAUCCAGGUUUGACUCGGGAUCAUCCAGGUUUGACACAGGGUCAUCCAGUCUUGGCCCAGGACCAUCCAGGUUUGACCCAGGACCAUCCAGGUUUGACCCAGGACCAUCCAGUCUUGGCCCAGGACCAUCCAGGUUUGGCCCAGGACCAUCCAGUCUUGGCCCAGGACCAUCCAGGUUUGGCCCAGGACCAUCCAGUCUUGGCCCAGGACCAUCCAGGUUUGGCCCAGGACCAUCCAGUCUUGGCCCAGGACCAUCCAGGUUUGGCCCAGGACCAUCCAGGUUUGACUCGGGGUCAUCCCAGUUUGACCUAGGACCAUCCAGUCUUGGCCCGGGACCAUCCAAGUUUGACCCAGGACCAUCCAAGUUUGACACAGGGUCAUGGAGUCUUGGCCCAAGAUCAUCCGAGUCUAUGGCCAGAACAAGUUCAAAGGACAUCACGAUAGAAGUUUGUCCAGGCACCUAUACUGUCACAGUAGGGUCCCCUAAUGUAACCACAACGCACAUGAUAGAGGUUGACUCAGGAGAAAUCAUCGAUCUGAGUUUCCCUCUUUAA